GAUGAACGCUGGCGGCGUGCCUAAUACAUGCAAGUCGAGCGAACAGACGAGUAGCUUGCUCCUCUGACGUUAGCGGCGGACGUGUGAGUAACACGUGGAUAACCUACCUAUAAGACUGGUAUAACUUCGGGAAACCGGAGCUAAUACCGGAUAAUAUAUUGAACCGCAUGGUUCAAUAGUGAAAGCCGGUUUUGCUGUCACUUAUAGAUGGAUCCGCGCCGCAUUAGCUAGUUGGUAAGGUAACGGCUUACCAAGGCAACGAUGCGUAGCCGACCUGAGAGGGUGAUCGGCCACACUAGAACUGAGACGAGGUACAGACUCCUACGGGAGGAAGCAGUAGGGAAUCUUCCGCAAUGGGCGAAAGCGUGACGGAGCAACGCCGCGUGAGUGAUGAAGGUCUUCGGAUCGUAAAACUCUGUUAUUAGGGAAGAACAAAUGUGUAAGUAACUAUGCACGUAUUGACGGUACCUAAUCAGAAAGCCACGGCUAACUACGUG
rnacentral:rRNA from 1 species